rnacentral:lncRNA from 7 species
GAUAUUUUGCUGGAGAUUCCUGUUUACGUGAGGUCUUUCCGAGUGCUUCCCCUAGCAAUUUGUCCCUGCCCAGAGGAAUGAGAUGGAUUCUGGGGUGUUCCUACUCCUACUGCCUGGUUUAUAGGAAAGAAAUACCUUCAGAAAACAGGUGUGACCUGGCCAGGGAGUGAAUGUUUGGGAGACAGAAGCACUGACUUUCAGGAAGAAAGUAAAUUAGGAUUACAUGAACCAAAAAAAAACUUCUAAAAAUCAGAAUAGCUUCAACAUUGCUCGCUAUGCUAAUGGAUUCGUUAUUACAGAGACAUUGUGAAUGGGACAAUGGGACUUUUAUUUCUUCCCUCAGGAGCGAGGCAAGAAUGCGGCUGCUUAAAUCAUUAUUGCCAUUCAGCAUAUGAAUUCCAGUUUUGGUUUUAUGAAUGGCCUCUAUCAUCAUGUCUUGUGCGGACUGUCUCAUGCUCUUUGUGCUGUGGGUUUAGGCACGCUGUCACCAUCGCUAUAAAUAGCUGCAUUGGUUAUGAAGGGCUAUCAGAGCCUCUCCUGAAAGAAUAGGACUUUUGACCGGUGGCAUUUUAGGCCACUUUUCUUCAAAUGUUCUAGAGGAGGUAGCAUGUUUUCCACUCUGCGGAUCCUAAAAAAUGGUCAGUAGUCGAAGUGUUGGUCUCUGAAAUUCAGGCACCCAGUGAGUGUGAAGAGCGCACAGGGAAAACUGCAGUUAGGAGCAAUAGGACAGUGCAUGCUUUCCAGAAGUCUCAGCUGCGGGGCUGGCAAGGAGUAAUAAACUGCUAUACACAGAAAGAGGAGCUCCCAGUGAUCCAGCCGGAAGCUGGGCUGCUCUGCAGGACUGCUGCAGUGUUGGACAGGUCUGCUUCGCACCCAAAAAUGCUCAAGUGUACCAGGGGAUGGGAGGCUGUCAGGUAAUCCUUCUCUGCUCCAGAGCAGCACAGCAGCCAUCAGAUGGCAGCACUCUGCACAAAGAGCUUCGGAUUCUCCAAAUCCUGCUCUUUUCCCACCAAGAGCCCGGGCCCUCUGGCAGGAGGAGAGCGCUGAAUUUUGAGUGCCUGCAAAUAGAAACCAUGCUGCCGAAGUUCAGAAUAACUGCUUGAAAGCUUCAUAAAUCCAACUCGUUUCAGUCAGCCCAUUUUCUCUCUUUGUAGCAGCUGUCUGGGUGCUGAGUUGAAUGUGCUUAUCUAUUUUGGCUAUUCUGGAUUAAUGUUUUUCGGCCCCUAUGUUUCAGCAAACCACUGGAGUUCUGUAUCCCGAAGUAGACAAGGUCAGUUAUAAAUACAUUUUCUCUGUGUAAGAUCCCAGUGGAAAAAAGAAAGUACUUUUAAAC